GGAUUGUGGCUCAGCGGUAGAGCGCUCACCUUGCAUGCAUGAAGCCCUGGGUUCAAUUCUCAACACCA
rnacentral:tRNA from 1 species